UCCUCCUUCAUUUCUGUCUCCACCCAGAGCACUGGGCAGAACUCUUUAUAUAGUGACUCAGUCAGUGAUAGCUUAUUGCUGAUGGCAUGGAAUUGGUAGCCUGGCAGGAGGCCAUUUACACCAUCAAGUAUUCUAGGUUCAGGUGAGGAUCCUGGCCACAGGAACUUCAAUUUUCCCCACACAGCUAAACCCCGGCAGUCAUCCUUCCACGUCUAGAAAUUCUGUGGAAAUUUGAAAUUCUUCCAUUUCAAACACCUAAAUACAUAGAUGAAAAAGAUAAUUUCAGAGAGUUAAAUGUUCAAUGAAGAGAGUAACACGAUCGAUGGUGACUGGGGCUAGGGGACUUGGUCAAUUUUUGAUAAUGUAUUUAGAGCAGUGCUCUGAGGAAGUCUUAUUUACAUUUAAAUCUAAGUUCCAAAUGGGAUAUAUAUUUCAUGUAUGGAUACAGCCAUGCACAUUUCAGAAAGCAGAAUGGUGCAAUUAAAGAGCAGAGGUAUAUAAACACUAAGCAGAAAUCCCAUUAUACAAUUGAAUGGCUGGGGCCAAAUGAACUCUCCUCUUCACCAUUUUUACUUUUUUCAUAUUGCUCUUAGAAGGGAGGUGCUCAGAACUGAACACAAUGGAGUAGAUGUGCUCUGGCCAGGUCGGAUCGCAGAACUCUCAUCAGUCGAGAUUUCAUUCAGUAAUUUUACGGCACAGUUGAUUUUUUGAAGCUUCUGAUAACUUCAACAUCCAGAACUCAAAUAAACUGCUGAUGCUCCAAGGGCCAGCAGUAACUGAAAAUGUCUGGAUAUUCCCCAAAUUCCCCAAUUUCCCUACAUCUGCAUUUGUAGUAUUGAUCAUUUUUAAAUAUAUGAAUUAUAGUAUUUUCCAUUUUAUUUUUAUUGUUUUGGUUUACAUAGAGUAUAACAACCCUAAGACAUUUUGAAUUUUGUAGUUUUGUAUACACCUAUCUAGUUUUGUAUUAUCUUUUAAACAUGUCCUCAAGGAUUUGGGGGAGCUGUCGAAGAGUGGAUGGAUCUUUACUGAUGUUACAGAUAUAGAAGCACUUCCAGCAGGCUGAAGUGAAUCUUCCAGUGGCAUGAUCGAAUUGAUACAAUGAAGACAUGGACUGUGCUCAGAUCUUCCCUUUGGGGAAUAUCCAGACAUUUUCAGUUACUUCCUGGCCCUUGGAGCAUCAGCUGAUAACUCAUUAACUCUUUGUGAUCUCACCUCUUCCAAGAAGACAUAUAUGGUUUCUCUUUUCCAAGUCACUGAUCCUCAGAUUCCUCCUGGAUUUUUCUGAAAUCACGAAUAUGAACAUGCCUGCUCUGCACAACCCAUUUUUCCUCCAGACAUAAUCAGUACAUCCCCAAUG